UACGAAGGGGGCUAGCGUUGUUCGGAAUUACUGGGCGUAAAGCGCACGUAGGCGGAUAUUUAAGUCAGGGGUGAAAUCCCAGAGCUCAACUCUGGAACUGCCUUUGAUACUGGGUAUCUUGAGUAUGGAAGAGGUGAGUGGAAUUCCGAGUGUAGAGGUGAAAUUCGUAGAUAUUCGGAGGAACACCAGUGGCGAAGGCGGC
rnacentral:rRNA from 1 species